GACGAACGCUGGCGGCGUGCCUAAUACAUGCAAGUCGAGCGAAGUUUUUCUGGUGCUUGCACUAGAAAAACUUAGCGGCGAACGGGUGAGUAACACGUAAAGAACCUGCCUCAUAGACUGGGACAACUAUUGGAAACGAUAGCUAAUACCGGAUAACGGCAUUAACUGCAUGGUUGAUGUUUAAAAGUUGGUUUUGCUAACACUAUGAGAUGGCUUUGCGGUGCAUUAGCUAGUUGGUGGGGUAAAGGCCUACCAAGGCGACGAUGCAUAGCCGACCUGAGAGGGUGAUCGGCCACACUGGGACUGAGACACGGCCCAGACUCCUACGGGAGGCAGCAGUAGGGAAUCUUCCGCAAUGGGCGAAAGCCUGACGGAGCAACGCCGCGUGAGUGAAGAAGGAUUUCGGUUCGUAAAGCUCUGUUGUUAGGGAAGAAUGAUUGUGUAGUAACUAUACACAGUAGAGACGGUACCUAACCAGAAAGCCACGGCUAACUACGUG
rnacentral:rRNA from 1 species